rnacentral:rRNA from 1 species
GUGGAUUAGAUACCCUAGUAGUCCACACCGUAAACGUUGGGCGCUAGGUGUGGGGUCCAUUCCACGGAUUCCGUGCCGCAGCUAACGCAUUAAGCGCCCCGCCUGGGGAGUACGGCCGCAAGGCUAAAACUCAAAGGAAUUGACGGGGGCCCGCACAAGCGGCGGAGCAUGCGGAUUAAUUCGAUGCAACGCGAAGAACCUUACCUGGGUUUGACAUACACCCUGCCGCUCCAGAGAUGGGGCUUCUUUUGGGGGUGUACAGGUGGUGCACGGUCGUCGCCAACU